rnacentral:lncRNA from 10 species
AGGUGGGGGACUAGGAGAGGCAGGUGCUACUAGCUCCGCACUACUAGUUUUGUGACCUUGGGCAAGCUAGUUAAUCUCUGCAAUGGACCUCAUCAUGACCGUUGCUGUACUUACAAUGAAAACAACUUGGUGGAUGGCCACCAAGCCAUGCAUUAUUCAAGCCCAUCUUGAGUGCUGGACCAUCAAUAAUGGAGAGACAUGAUCCUUGCUCUCAUGGAACUUAUGCUGUAGUGGAAGACAACAUGUAAACAGCUGCAAUACAGUUAAAUAUUUGCUGUAAUGAAGUUAUAUAUGUAGUGUAAAAAGGGACAGGAAAAAUCUUUAAUUCAAGGAAAUCUUUAUGAGGACGUAGAACUUGAACAGAAAUGUGAAGCCAUCUUUUUCUCAGGACAUUUGGGAAAGGGAAUUCAAGGCAGCCACUUUCAUCUCUUUAAGUUCAUAAUUUGCUACUUAACUUCAGAUCCAGGGACCAAAGGCCUGAAUUCCAGUUGUGCCUCAAGAUGGUGCUUUCCCUCAUUUUUGUAGCUCAAGACGUACAUUCAACUCAAGAGUCCA